GUUAGAAUGUUCUCUCCAUUCCAGAAUGUGAUUGAUACGUAACAGUACAUUUUAUCCGCGCUGCCCUCAAACUAAAGCACGCAGCCUGUUUAUAUUUAUAAGUUGUUUUAACUUCAAUUUAAAAUGAUUUUCAAACAAGUUUUUAUUUUCUAAAAACAGUUUGAAUUUAGGUGUGUUCCGCCUCCUCAUUCAUUCACAUAAAAAUAGUCAUUUUUACUUUUGCGGAUAAUUACAUUUUUGGGACAUUUCUGACAGGGACAAAAUUCCCCAAGCACUUCCCAAUUGUUUGUGCAGUUCACGUCUGCAGACAUUUGCUCAUCUCCCGUCAGAACAGGAUCUGCACACGUGUUCACAUUUUCUAUUCCACAUUUCUAUUGUAGCGUACUGUAUGUAUAGAGCAUAAUAUAUUUGUGUAUAUUCUUUAUCACCGCGGAAACGUGAGGUAACGUUACUCAUUUUAUAACCUUUAUGAUGUUAUAGUCAAUCGUGCUUAUGUAGCCACAUUCUUCUAUUAGCUCUGUAAAACAAUGCUAAAUGCGUCAGAGAAGUAUUAUCUUGUGUUGCAUUUUGAAGCUACCAUGGCCUUAUGACUCUCAAGUGGUGCAGCGGUCAAAGGCACAGCACAUCAGUACUAGAGGUGUCACUACAGACUCCCUGGUUCAAAUCCAGGCUGCGUUUCCAUCAAAAAACAUUAUUUGCCAAUAUCAUAACUGAAGCUGGACAUCUUUGGAGCAUAAGAAUGAGGACAGCUUUUGUAUGCUAACGUACACUCCUUAACAGUUGUACUGGAUGAAAACACAGCAAGAAAACGCAUGCCAAUAUGCAUAGUAUCAUGGCUGGUCACCUGUCAAGUCACAUGUCAGGUCAGUCAGUCACCUAUUGCUGCAGAUGUGCUCAAUAAUGCUUGAGUAUGUGAUACUCCUCAAA